rnacentral:rRNA from 1 species
UACGUAGGGGGCGAGCGUUGUCCGAAGUUACUGGGCGUAAAGCGCACGUAGGCGGUUAUCUAAGUCUGGGGUGAAAGGUUCAGUGCUUAACGCGAACAGUGCCUUGGAGACUGGAUGACUUGAGUUUGGGAGAGGGUAGUGGAAUGGCUGGUGUAGGCGGUGAAAUGCGUAGAUAUCAGUCGGAACACCAUGGCGAAGGCAGCUACCUGGCCUAAAACUGACGCUGAGGUGACGAAAGCGUGGGGAGCAAACAGG